rnacentral:rRNA from 1 species
GCUUGUCUCAAAGAUUAAGCCAUGCAUGUCUUAGUGUAAAUAACUCUUAUGAAACUGCGAAUGGCUCAUUAAAUCAGUUAUCAAAUACGUGAUGGUCGCCUACUACAUGGAUAACCGUAGUAAUUCUAGAGCUAAUACAUGCACAAAAUCCCGACUUACGAAGGGAUGUAUUUAUUAGAUACAAACCAACAUCGUGGUGAUUCAUAAUAACUUUGCGAAUCGUAUGCCUCACGGCGACGAUGAAUCAUUCAAAUUUCUGCCCUAUCAACUUUCGAUGGUAAGGUAUUGGCCUACCAUGGUUACCACGGGUAACGGGGAAUUAGGGUUCGGUUCCGGAGAGGGGGCCUGAGAAAUGGCCACCACAUCCAAGGAAGGCAGCAGG